ensembl:snoRNA U3 Small nucleolar RNA U3
AGGACUAUACAUUCAGGGAUCAUUUCUGUAGUUUGUUACUAGAGAAGUUUCUCUGAAUGUGUAGAGCACUGGAAAAAU